CCUACGGGUGGCAGCAGUGAGGAAUAUUGGUCAAUGGGCGCGAGCCUGAACCAGCCAAGUAGCGUGAAGGAUGACUGCCCUACGGGUUGUAAACUUCUUUUAUAAAGGAAUAAAGUGAGGCACGUGUGCCUUUUGUAUGUACUUUAUGAAUAAGGAUCGGCUAACUCCGUGCCAGCAGCCGCGGUAAUACGGAGGAUCCGAGCGUUAUCCGGAUUUAUUGGGUUUAAAGGGAGCGUAGGUGGGUUGUUAAGUCAGUUGUGAAAGUUUGCGGCUCAACCGUAAAAUUGCAAUUGAUACUGGCAUCUUUGAGUACAGUUGAGGGAGGCGGAAUUCGUGGUGGAGCGGUGAAAUGCUUAGAUAUCACGAAGAACUCCGAUUGCGAAGGCAGCCUGCUGAACUGUCACUGACGUUGAUGCUCGAAAGUGUGGGUAUCAAACAGGAUUAGAUACCCUAGUAGUC
rnacentral:rRNA from 1 species